rfam:Saprospira grandis str. Lewin, complete genome.
UUGCACAACUUCUUAAAGAGGUUUCAUAUAAAAAGUAGGAUUCUGAGCGCUAAUCGAGAAAUUGAUUUUUGCAUACACUCUCAAAUUCAGGGAAAUCUUAACAGGUAAUGCUGAUGACAAUCCUGAGCUAAGUUGCAAACUUUGUUUUGCAAAAAGUGCAGAGACUUUACGGGAGUGGCCUAAGUUUAUUAUUAAGAUAAUGAAUAGGGUUGAGAGAAAGUCCAGACCACAAACUUUUAU